CUCCAUGUUAAUAUUUAAUCAGGCUUUGGUGCCAGAUAGAAGCUGUCGAAUGAACGAGAUGCAAUGAGGGGAGCCCUGUAUUACAUUAAAAUAUACAUCAUGUGUGUUCUCUUCUUUGAUGGAGGGGAGAAGUGGGUCAGUUAUUAUGACAAGUAAGAGGCUCAGGCCUGCCACUGAAUAAAGAUGCUUUGUCAGAUUCUGAGAGCUGACUAGAUGAAGUUAAAAUCUCAUUGCAGACAUGUGUGGGAAACCUGAGUGACCAGAUUCUUUAGUGUCUGCUACUAUAACUGGGAGGAAUAAGGAGCCAUCUCAGCCCGUUGCACCCUGUCUGCAAUGCAACAUCCUUGCACAUGUGGGAGGGAGGAUAAUACUGGAUGAGCCAGAUCAUAUAAUAUAGUGGAUAAUUGCUGCAAAGUUAUCCUCCUGCAUGGGCGAAUUGAAAGAGACUGUCUCACUGGUACUGUGACCAGCUACCCAAGAGGAUGUCCACAAGUAGUGCUUGGAAGUGUCCUGGGAGUGAUGGUCUUUGGCUUUAAAAAGCGGCCAGGCUGCCUCAGUGGGGUGGAAAGGGUUGUCAGGAGCAGCCCCUGGGGUGCAGCCAGCACCCGACACCCGCAGCAUUUCUCACCCUCUGACAGCAAGUGGGGUUUCAACAUGUGAAUGUCAGCUUUAGGUAGGUUUGACAGUUUAGAAAUGAAUCAUUUGCUAAUAGUCCUAUGUCCUAAAUGCUUCUAAUACGGUUAUUAUCACAUCAUUUGAGCAUCCAGAAUGAUACUAGGAAAUAUCAGUCUCCUGCCAAAAGAUUCUGAAGUGCAUUUUCUGGCUACAUUGUUAAGUUGCUUCCUGGGGCUGCUAAGCCUUGAUGACUGUCUUCCAGGUAAAACAGAAAGAGGUUGCCUUCUCCUGCCAAAAGGGGUAGAGCAAUAUUUGUCCUGAUUUCUGCUGGCAGUUGCUGGCAUGCUGCUUGGAGCGGCUGGUACCUUGCUCCUGUGAAUUUCAUUCAAGAAAAGGAAGAUCGUAAGGGGGGGGGGGGGGGGGGAGAUAUGAUUAGAAUAAUUAUAAAAAAAUCAAACAGGCAUCUCUGCUGCAUCACCUGCCUAAUGCUUAAAGCCAAUGCCAAGCCUGGUUUUCAUGGGGUAAACCUAAACCACCAAACAAGGCUGAUGCAAGCAAGUCACAGUGACAGCCUGGGCAGAGCCCUCCAAGGCACCAGGUUUUUCCACAGCCCAGCUCAGACAGAUGCUCUAUAUUCUCCCUGCCCUGAAAAAUGAAAAGCAGAGGUCACAUAGUAUCCUAUGGGCUUUAAAAAAUGGAGAGAGGAAGCUUAUUCACAGGGACCAAAAUUUUGCUGG